GUAAGUUUUCUUAAAUCUAUAAAUAAGGUAAUAUAACAAAAAUAAAAACACAAACUAACAUAACUUAAGUCUUGAAAGUGACGUUACAUACAAGAAUGUUUAUCGAGGUUCCAUGCUCAAAGUAAGCAGAACCUGCUGAAACUCAGCAAACAAGAAGAAAGAAGAAGAAGGAAUUUGUCGUAACCUCAAAAGUUUGUUGUGGUGUGAACCAAGUUGAUGUUUCUAUGAAACAAGAAUAAUCUAGCCUUUUUAAAUACCUCAAGAUGCCGAGGACUUAUAAAAGAGAUCCGAGGGCCAAACAUCACCGCCCUGUUGAUGAAGAAGCCAUAAAACGAGCACUAGAUGCCGUGGCAAAAGGCAUGUCUAUUAGAAAAGCUGAAGAGCAGUUUAAAAUCUCAAAAUCAGCGCUG